ACCAACAGGGUAUUGCCCCAGUAACGGCGAGUGAAGCGGCAGGAGCUCAAAUUUGAAAUCUGGGGCCCCCCGGCCUCCGAGUUGUAAUUUGGAGAGGCUCCUUCGGGGGGGAGCGCUGGCCCAUGUUCCUUGGAACAGGACGUCGCAGAGGGUGAGAAUCCCGUGCCAGGCCGGCUGCCUCCUCCCGCGUGAAGGGCCUUCGACGAGUCGAGUUGUUUGGGAAUGCAGCUCCAAGUGGGUGGUAAAUUUCAUCUAAAGCUAAAUACCGGCGGGAGACCGAUAGCGCACAAGUAGAGUGAUCGAAAGAUGAAAAGCACUUUGAAAAUAGAGUCAAAAAGUACGUGAAAUUGUUGAAAGGGAAGCGCUUGAGACCAGACUCAGACCCAGGCAAACACCGCGCCCCCAGGGGCCGUGCAAUUGCCCGGUGCUGGGCCAGCAUCAGUUGGCGUGGCGGGACAAGGGCGCGGGAAAUGUGGCUCCCCUCGGGGAGUGUUAUCAGGCCCGCGCCGGAUGCCGCCUACGCCGACUGAGGACCGCGCCUCGGCUAGGAUGCUGGCUUAAUGGCCUUCAGCGACCCGUCUUGAAACACGGACCAAGGAGUCUAACAUCUAUGCGAGUGUUUGGGCGCCAAACCCUUGCGCGGAAUGAAAGUGAGCGGAGGUGGGAACCCCCAACCGGGAGCACCAUCGACCGAUCCUGAUGUCUUCGGAUGGAUUUGAGUAGGAGCAUAGCUGUUGGGACCCGAAAGAUGGUGAACUAUGCCUGAAUAGGGUGAAGCCAGAGGAAACUCUGGUGGAGGCUCGCAGCGGUUCUGACGUGCAAAUCGAUCGUCAAAUUUGGGUAUAGGGGCGAAAGACUAAUCGAACCAUCUAGUAGCUGGUCCUGCCGAU
rnacentral:rRNA from 1 species